AAAUACUGCAUAUGAGAUGUCCGCACGUCGUGAGGGCCAGUCUGCGCUCGGAGGAGGGCGGAAGAAAGCAGGAGUUACAGCAGAUCCAGUGAGACAUUUUUUUUUUAAUCCCCUGCAAAUAGAUGGUGUGAUUUUUUUAUAUUUUUCUCAAACAACCAGCUUGAAUCACUGAUAAUGACUACCGCUACUUUAGGUCUCACCAGACGUUCUCCAGCAAAGACAGAGAACCUCGUGGAGUUGGUUUGAAAGCAGAGGAAGUGCUGACCGGACAUGUGAGCCGUAAAACUGAAUUUGGCGAAGAUGCCGAAGCGCUUGGUCAUCAAAAGCUGAUGAGAGCUUCUCUUUGGACUGCUCGGACCGACAACCGUCCACUAUCACCAACCGGUUUCGAAAGGCUGGACUACUGUGUAAUGAAGAGGAUAGCUCAAUCUAUGGUGCUAAUUUGCCUUGAGACAAAAGUGGCAACAAGAGCAACAAUGAAACAGAGGCCAUUCUGUGACGCCGAGGUGAGGUGAGUGGGUGGACGACUUUAAGUCCCACGGCGCCAGCAAGAAAUAUCCUGACGGGCUCACCUGUCACCAGCAUGUCUUCAGGAAUCUCCUCAAUGAUGCAUCUUUCCUCCUGCUCGCCCAGAUCAAAAUACAUGGCCGCUGCCAACAUUAGGGGCAGUAGGCUCUGUAGGGAAGUCCAGACUUCCUGGUCUGGACCCAAGGCGUUCCCAGGCCAUCUGUGAGACAUAGACCCUCCAGGAUGUCCUAGGUCUAUCCGGGGCCUUCUCCUGGCUGGGCAUGCCCAAACACCUCACCAGGGAGGCGUCUGGGAGGCAUCCAGACUAGAUGCACGAGCCACCUCAAAUGACUCUUCUCAAUAAGGAGCAGCGGCUCUCCUCUGAGUUCCUCCCGGAUGACUGAGGUCCUCACCCUAUCUCUU